rnacentral:rRNA from 1 species
GACGAACGCUGGCGGCGUGCCUAAUACAUGCAAGUAGAGCGCUGAAGGAGGAGCUUGCUUCUCUGGAUAAGUUGCGAACGAGUGAGUAACGCGUAGGUAACCUACCUGGUAGCGGGGGAUAACUAUUGGAAACGAUAGCUAAUACCUCAUAAGAGUAGAUGUUUCAUGACAUUUGCUUAAAAUGUGCACUUGCAUCACUACCAGAUGGACCUGCGUUGUAUUAGCUAGUUGGUGGGGUAACGGCCUACCAAGGCGACGAUCCAUAGACGGCCUGAGAGGGUGAUCGGCCACACUGGGACUGAGACACGGCCCAGACUCCUACGGGAGGCAGCAGUAGGGAAUCUUCGGCAAUGGACGGAAGUCUGACCGAGCAACGCCGCGUGAGGGAAGAAGGUUGUCGGAUCGUAAAGCUCUGUUGUAAGAGAAGAACGAGUGUGAGAGUGGAAAGUUCACACUGUGACGGUAUCUGACCAGAAAGGGACGGCUAACUACGUG